ensembl:lncRNA
CUAGAACUACCACCGAGCCAGACUCGGGUAGACGGAUUUGAAAUAGCUCAACUGGAAUUCCAUCACCUCCACUAGCUUUGUUCAUAGUGAUGCUUCCUAAGGCCUACUUGACUUCACAUUCCAGGAUUUCUGGCUCUAGUCACGCAGAUAUGAGAGUUGGACCAUAGAGAAAGCUAACCAAAGAAGUAAUGCCUUCAAACUGUGAUGCUGGAGAAGACUCUUUAACAGUCUUUUGGACAGCAAGGAGAUCAAAGCAGUCAGUGCUAAAGGAAAUCAAUCCUGAAGAAUCAUUGGAAGAACUUAUGUUGAAGCUCCAAUACGUCAGCCACCUGAUUCAAAGAGCUUAUUCAUUGGAGAAGACCCUGAUGUUGAGAAAGAUUGAAGGCAAAGGAGAAGGGGGCGGCAGAGGAUGAGAUGGUUAGAUAGCAUCACCAACUCAGAGUACAUGAAUUUGAGCAAACUCCAAUAGAUAGUGGAGAACAGAGGAGCCUGGCAUGCUGCAGUCCAUGGGGUUGCAGAGUUGGACACAACUUAGAAGCUGAACAGUAGCAUGGUAGUUGUUGGUUGUACUACAAAACUGAUGACUUUGGUAAUUAUUUCCCACUUAAACUUGUAGCAAGUAUUAAUUUUUCCUAUAAAUCUUCCAUACUAAGAAAAUACAUAUUUCAAAACAUGUAUUUGACUAUACUUAGAGCAGCAUGCGGAGAAGGCAAUGGCACCCCACUCCAGUACUCUUGCCUGGAAAAUCCCAUGGAUGGAGGAGCCUGGUAGGCUCCAGUCCAUGGGGUUGCUAAGAGUCGGGAACGACUAAGCGACUUCACUUUCACUUUUCCCUUUCAUGCAUUGGAGAAGGAAAUGGCAACCCACUCCAGUGUUCUUGCCUGGAGAAUCCCAGGGACGGUGGAGCCUGAUGGGCUGCCGUCUAUGGGGUCGCACAGAGUCGGACACGACUGAAGCGACUUAGCAGCAGCAGCAGAGCAGCAUGAACAGUGAAAGGAAGCAAAUGGUUUCUUUCAAAGUUAUAAAUACCAAGACUAAGUGACCUAAAUUAUUUUUUUUGUCCCCCACCUCUGAGAGAGUGCUCUGUGCAGGAGAAAACAAAUCUCCCUCUUUGUAAAUGCCUUGACUGCCUAUUUGAUCAGCUAAGAUAAGGAAGAGUGGGCUUACCUGGUGCCUCAGUGGUGAAGAAUCUGCCUGCCAAUGUAGGAGAUACAGGUUCAACCCCUGAUCCAGAAAGAUCCCACAUGCCGGGGAGCAAGUAAGUCUAGAGCACAACUAAUGAGUCUGUGCUCUAGAGCCUGGGAGCCGCAACUACUGAGCCCGGUGCCUCAACUACCAAAACCUGAGUGCCCUAGAGCCCAUGCUCUGCAACAAGAGAAGCCACCACAAUGAGAACCCAUGCACUAUAACUGGAGACUGGCCCCACUUGCUGGAACUAGAGAAAAGCCCAAGCAGCAAAGUCCAAGCACAACCUUGCCCCCUAUACACACACACACACACACACACACACACACACACACACACACACACAGAUAAAAGAGAUAAGGAAAAGCAAGGACAUCAAAGUUUUGUCUGAUCUUUAAGUAGGUAGAUGGUAAGAUAGAGGUAAAUGACUAUAACAUGAAAUGUUUGCCAUUAUGAUCAUUUCUUCUGUACAAAGAGGCCUCUGGGCAUAGUUAGGAAACUGGAGAAUAAAAAGUGAGAAAUGGAAACCACUCUGCAAAAGCAAUAUAAGAACUACACCUAUUAUGGCCAGGAAUUUACAAAAAAUGUGCUUUAUUUAGAAAAUAUUUCUCCUUAAUAUGAGUUGA